CCUACGGGAGGCAGCAGUGAGGAAUAUUGGUCAAUGGACGAGAGUCUGAACCAGCCAAGUAGCGUGAAGGAUGACUGCCCUCUGGGUUGUAAACUUCUUUUAUAUGGGAAUAAAAUGUUCCACGUGUGGGAUUUUGUAUGUACCAUAUGAAUAAGGGUAGGCUAACUCCGUGCCAGCAGCCGCGGUAAGACGGAGGGGACGAGGGUUACCCGGAUUUAAUGGGUUUAACGGGAGCGUAGGUGGAUUGUUAAGUCAGUUGUGAAAGUGUGCGGCUCAACCGUAAAAUUGCAGUUGAAACUGGCAGUCUUGAGUACAGUAGAGGUGGGCAGAAGUCGUGGUGUAGCGGUGAAAUGCGUAGAUAUCACGAAGAACUCCGAUGGCGAAGGCAGCUCACUGGACUGCAACUGACACUGAGGCUCGAAAGUGUGGGUAUCAAACAGGAUUAGAUACCCGAGUAGUC
rnacentral:rRNA from 1 species